AACGACUCUCGGCAACGGAUAUCUCGGCUCUCGCAUCGAUGAAGAACGUAGCGAAAUGCGAUACUUGGUGUGAAUUGCAGAAUCCCGUGAACCAUCGAGUCUUUGAACGCAAGUUGCGCCCAAAGCCAUUAGGUUGAGGGCACGUCUGCCUGGGCGUCACGCA
rnacentral:rRNA from 1 species